GCCACAGCUACUAAWUUAUGAUAUAAACUUAAUAGUAUUGUAGCCUAUAAUAAAGCUCUAGAUAAGAGCU
rnacentral:rRNA from 1 species